rnacentral:rRNA from 1 species
GUGGGGAAUAUUGGACAAUGGGCGAAAGCCUGAUCCAGCCAUGCCGCGUGUGUGAAGAAGGUCUUCGGAUUGUAAAGCACUUUAAGUUGGGAGGAAGGGCAGUAAGUUAAUACCUUGCUGUUUUGACGUUACCGACAGAAUAAGCACCGGCUAACUUCGUGCCAGCAGCCGCGGUAAUACGAAGGGUGCAAGCGUUAAUCGGAAUUACUGGACGUAAAGCGCGCGUAGGUGGUUUUGUAAGUUGGAGGUGAAAUCCCCGGGCUCAACCUGGGAACUGCCUCCAAAACUGCAUGACUAGAGUACGGUAGAGGGUAGUGGAAUUUCCUGUGUAGCGGUGAAAUGCGUAGAUAUAGGAAGGAACACCAGUGGCGAAGGCGACUACCUGGACUGAUACUGACACUGAGGUGCGAAAGCGUGGGGAGCAAACAGGAUUAGAUACCCCUGUAGUCC